AAUCAACGCUGGCGGCGUGCCUCAGACAUGCAAGUCGAACGCGAAAUCCCGAGCAAUCGGGAGAGUAGAGUGGCGCACGGGUGAGUAACACGUAGGUAAUCUACCUUCGGAUGGGGAAUAACAACCGGAAACGGUUGCUAAUACCGCAUAAUGCAGCGGCACCUAAUGGUGACAGUUGUUAAAGCGGGGGAUCGAAAGACCUCGCGUCUGAAGAGGAGCCUGCGGCGGAUUAGCUAGUUGGUAAGGUAAUGGCUUACCAAGGCGACGAUCCGUAACCGGCCUGAGAGGGCGGUCGGUCACACUGACACUGACAUACGGGUCAGACUCCUACGGGAGGCAGCAAGUCGGGAAUUUUGGGCAAUGGGCG
rnacentral:rRNA from 1 species